rnacentral:rRNA from 1 species
AGCUUGCUUUCUCUGAUUUAGCGGCGGACGGGUGAGUAACACGUGGGCAACCUACCUUAUAGUUUGGGAUAACUCCGGGAAACCGGGGCUAAUACCAAAUAAUCUCUUUCACUUCAUGGUGAAAGACUGAAAGACGGUUUUGGCUGUCGCUAUAGGAUGGGCCCGCGGCGCAUUAGCUAGUUGGUGAGGUAACGGCUCACCAAGGCAACGAUGCGUAGCCGACCUGAGAGGGUGAUCGGCCACACUGGGACUGAGACACGGCCCAGACUCCUACGGGAGGCAGCAGUAGGGAAUCUUCCACAAUGGGCGAAAGCCUGAUGGAGCAACGCCGCGUGAGUGAAGAAGGAUUUCGGUUCGUAAAACUCUGUUGUAAGGGAAGAACAAGUACAGUAGUAACUGGCUGUACCUUGACGGUACCUUAUUAGAAAGCCACGGCUAACUACGUGCCAGCAGCCGCGGUAAUACGUAGGUGGCAAGCGUUGUCCGGAAUUAUUGGGCGUAAAGCGCGCGCAGGUGGUUUCUUAAGUCUGAUGUGAAAGCCCACGGCUCAACCGUGGAGGGUCAUUGGAAACUGGGGAACUUGAGUGCAGAAGAGGAUAGUGGAAUUCCAAGUGUAGCGGUGAAAUGCGUAGA